rnacentral:rRNA from 2 species
GUUACUCUGCAAGUCGAGCGGAUGAGUGGAGCUUGCUCCUGAUUCACGGCGGACGGGUGAGUAAUGCCUAUGAAUCUGCCUGGUAGUGGGGGACAACGUUUCGAAAGGAACGCUAAUACCGCAUACGUCCUACGGGAGAAAGUGGGGGAUCUUCGGACCUCACGCUAUCAGAUGAGCCUAGGUCGGAUUAGCUAGUUGGUGAGGUAAAGGCUCACCAAGGCGACGAUCCGUAACUGGUCUGAGAGGAUGAUCAGUCACACUGGAACUGAAACACGGUCCAGACUCCUACGGGAGGCAGCAGUGGGGAAUAUUGGACAAUGGGCGAAAGCCUGAUCCAGCCAUGCCGCGUGUGUGAAGAAGGUCUUCGGAUUGUAAAGCACUUUAAGUUGGGAGGAAGGGCAGUAAGUUAAUACCUUGCUGUUUUGACGUUACCAACACAAUAAGCACCGGCUAACUUCGUGCCAGCAGCCGCGGUAAUACAAAGGGUGCAAGCGUUAAUCGGAAUUACUGGGCGUAGAGCGCGCGUAAGUGGUUCGUUAAGUUGGAUGUGAAAGCCCCGGGCUCAACCUGGGAACUGCAUCCGAAACUGGCGAGCUAGAGUAUGGCAUACGGUGGUGGAAUUUCCUGUGUAAGGGUGAAAUGCGUAAAUAUAGGAAGGAACACCAUUGGCGAAGGCGACCACCUGAACUAAUACUGACACUGACGUGCGAAAGCGUGGGGAGCAAACAGGAUUAGAUACACCUGGCUAGUCGACGCCAUAGACGAUGUCGACUAGGCGUUGGGAUCGUUAAAAUCUUACGGGCGCACCUAACGCAUUUAGAUCGAUUAGCGGCGCAGAGUACGCAUUGCGUCGACCGCCUACUGAAAAUGAAAGUAAGGAUAAGGGUG